rnacentral:rRNA from 1 species
CCUACGGGUGGCUGCAGUGAGGAAUAUUGGUCAAUGGACGAAAGUCUGACCCCGCCACGUAGCGUGAAGGAUGACUGCUCUAUGGUUUGUAAACUUCUUUUAUAUGGGAAUGAAAUGUUCCACGCUUGUUAUUUUGUAUGUACCAUAUGAAUAAGGAUCGGCUACCUCCGUGCCAGCAGCCGCGGUAAUACGGAGGAUACUAGCGUUAUCCGGAUUUAUUGGGUGUAAAGGGAGCGUACGUGGAUUGAUAAGUCAGUUGUGAAAGUUUGUGGCUCAACCGUGAAAUUGCAGUUGAAACUGGCAGUCUUGAGUACCGUAGAGGUGGGCGGAAUUCGUGGUGUAGCGGUGAAAUGCUUAGAUAUCACGAAGAACUCCGAUUGCGAAGGCAGUUCACUGGACUGCAACUGACACUGAGGCUCGAAAGUGUGGGUAUCAAACAGGAUUAGAUACCCGGGUAGUC